CGGAUUGAAGGCUGAAAUUCGCCUUCCAUGAAGCCGGAAUUGCUAGUAAUGGCAGGUCAGCAUACUGCCGUGAAUACGUUCCCGGGCCUUGUACACACCGCCCGUCACACCAUGAGAGUUGGGAAUACCCGAAGCCUGUGAGCUAACGUUAAGAGGCAGCAGUCGAAGGUAGAAUCAAUGAUUGGGGUGAAGUCGUAACAAGGUAUC
rnacentral:rRNA from 1 species